CCAGUACCUGCGUGAUUCGUCAUAGACAUAAACAGAGAGAAGUAGCUCCGGCUACAAUGUUCGUCCGCAAAACGCAUGCAGUUCGGUUUAUUAACAGCUAAAUUAGAAGUUACGGACUGCAGCUUUAAUUAAACACAAUCUAAUAGGUAGCAAAUGCAAUUUAUUUUUAUUUUUCGGCCGUAGCUGUAUCAUUUCUAGCCACAACCGCGAGAGAGAGUCAGUGUCAUGUGACACACCUGUGUGACGUCGCAGCCAGUUUGCAGCGCAGGUGGUAAAUCCCGGAACACACAAACGACCAAAAUGUUUGUUAUCUAAAUGAAAGAGUCUUUCUCGACAGUUUUGCAAGCGAAUAUAAUUUCUGUGAUAACAAAGAAGGCUGUUCACCAUGUCUAGACCUGACCGUGUCGGACUGACCCACUGUAAGUGUCUCCUGGUGUUUGCAGUCUUUAUGGAUCUUUUCGGUGUGUCUGCUCUUCUGAUCGGCGUCUUCGUCCCGCUUGAAAUCGGGGGUCGUGACUUUGGUGAUCUGUUGGUGUAUUCGGGAGCUCUGCUGGUGUUGAUGUCUAUGGGGGGCUGGGUCAUGUGGUACAGUGGGAAUAUUGAGGGUUUGAUAUCAGGGAAUGAGCUGACACACAAACGCAAUGCCGUGGACCGGUUCGCUCGCACCCUGAGUCGCCGCAUACGGAAACCCCACCGCAGCCACAGCACAUCCUGACCUCUGACCUCUAGACAUGGCUGAGAGCACAUACAAAGGGCUUGGGAUACCACAAAUAAGGCCAAAAUCUCAGUUGGAAACUAAGGAAAAUGGAAUGAUAAAGAACGUUUUACAAGGAUGAAGGUUGACGGAUACAGUAUAAUUGUUACGAUGUGGUGUUUGCUACUACUACUAUAAAAAAAAGUAUGACAUUGCAGUUAUUUGGUAAUACCUGUACUGUAGUGCUUUAUACAUUUUGACAGUUGUACGUAUGCGCUGAUAUUUUUGUACACGUAAUUCUGUAUUUCUUUUUGCAGCAAAACUUUUUUUAAAAUAUCUUCUGUUGUACAAAACAUGGGUGAUUAAAUUUCAAGCACUGAUACAUUUUUCAUAUUUUAAAAUUAAACAUGUAGCUUUAGUGCUUUGUUUGAAUAAUACUGAAUCACUUUUCAGAUCAAAACUCAACAAUUUAUGAUUUUAGUGAAAAUGUAUUUGCAAAGUUGCACAUUUUCAUAACACAUCUUCCAGAUAACAAAACAUUAACACAACAUUAAAGUCACGUUCUCUCUCACUCAUUAAAUAGGUAGAGCCACACAUUCCCCCAUUCAAAAAUACUGCAAAAAAUGCCAUACAGAAGCCUCCAUUAUUUUUACAGCAAAGAAACCAACAACCAAAAAUAAUAAAAUUAAAAAUAAAACCUCACCAUAAACACCAAACCUAAAAAAAAAAAAAAAUUUGUUCAGAUUGAAAUAUAUGCACUAUAGAUGUAAAUGUCACAAAAUGUAGGUAGUGUGUCAAACUUGGUCAGUUUCUUGUCAUUUUGAGAUUAUUUUUCUUUGUGCAAGUUUCCAGUUGAUCUAAUGCACAACAAGCAACCAACAGAUUGUGUUUGAAAAUACUUAAUGUCAUGACCAGCAGCAUUUCAGUUUAAAUGCAUCACUCCUCAUGAUUUGAAAAAAUAAAUAAAACUAUAUUAAUAAUUUCUGGCCUAGUAUUACAAUCAGAACCUGUCUUUUUUAUGGUAUUUAGGAUGAUUGUGUACAAAAAAAAAAAAUCACUGGUCAAAUACA